GAGGGCAGUGGGGCAGCCGUGAAGGGCUUUAAGCUGGCGAGUGACAGGAUUGUGGGCUGAAGGUCUUCUCCAUCAAGCGCUCGGGCUGCUGUGCGUGGGGUGGGGUUGGGAGGGAUGAGACAGGAGGCAGAACAGGGCUGAGGUCUGAGCUCAGCUCGAUGCAGGGGGAUUCAGAGAAGCAACAGGUUCAGCCCGCCUCAAACAGGUGAGUCCGUCUCUUACCUGGGACCCUCCUGAAUCUGAGAGUCCAGAGUCAGGGACGAGGAGUGGAGCUGAGAGCCUUGGGGAACCCCAGUGCUCUGAAAUGCCCGUGUCCAACCACAGGGCCCCAGGCUACCACGGAGACCGUGGCUUUUGUCCUGCUUCAUCAGAGAAGCACUUUGCUGGAAGCAAGAAGUGAAGGCUGGGGCCAUGCCUCAAUCACGUUGGA
rnacentral:lncRNA from 1 species